rnacentral:rRNA from 1 species
ACACAUGCAAGUCGAGGGGCAGCGGAGAGGUAGCAAUACCUUUGCCGGCGACCGGCGCACGGGUGAGUAACACGUAUGCAAUCCACCUGUAACAGGGGGAUAACCCGGAGAAAUCCGGACUAAUACCCCAUAAUAUGGGCGCUCCGCAUGGAGAGCCCAUUAAAGAGAGCAAUUUUGGUUACAGACGAGCAUGCGCUCCAUUAGCCAGUUGGCGGGGUAACGGCCCACCAAGGCGACGAUGGAUAGGGGUUCUGGGAGGAAGGUCCCCACAUUGGAACUGAGACACGGUCCAAACUCCUACGGGAGGCAGCAGUGAGGAAUAUUGGUCAAUGGUCGGCAGACUGAACCAGCCAAGUCGCGUGAGGGAAGACGGCCCUACGGGUUGUAAACCUCUUUUGUCGGAGAGUAAAGUACGCUACGCGUAGCGUAUUGCAAGUAUCCGAAGAAAAAGCAUCGGCUAACUCCGUGCCAGCAGCCGCGGUAAUACGGAGGAUGCGAGCGUUAUCCGGAUUUAUUGGGUUUAAAGGGUGCGUAGGCGGCACGCCAAGUCAGCGGUGAAAUUUCCGGGCUCAACCCGGAGUGUGCCGUUGAAACUGGCGAGCUAGAGUGCACAAGAGGCAGGCGGAAUGCGUGGUGUAGCGGUGAAAUGCAUAGAUAUCACGCAGAACCCCGAUUGCGAAGGCAGCCUGCUAGGGUGCGACAGACGCUGAGGCACGAAAGCGUGGGUAUCGAACAGGAUUAGAUACCCUGGUAGUCCACGCAGUAAACGAUGAAUACUAACUGUUUGCGAUACAAUGUAAGCGGUACAGCGAAAGCGUUAAGUAUUCCACCUGGGGAGUACGCCGGCA